rnacentral:rRNA from 1 species
CAGUCGAGUCGGGUAGCUUGGGAAUGCUGCUCUAAUCGGUGGUAAAUCUCAUCGAAGGCUAAAUACUGGUGGGAGACUGAUAGCAAAAAAGUACCGUGAGGGAAAGAUGAAAAGCACUUUGAAAAGAGAGUGAAAAGAACCUGAAACCAUUCUGUGGGAAGCGUAUUGCAUCACAAUGAGAGACGUUUGCAUGUUCAACCUUUCGGGGUGCAUUCAUGUAGAGGUCUAUCUGUCGUGGGCUUGUGGGCAGUCGAUUUUUAUUUUGGGCUGCCUCAGGCUGAGGGCUCCGCGAAAGCGUUGAGGACGGCAGAGGGACGAUGCGAUUCGACCCGUCUUGAAACACGGACCAAGGAGUCUAGCACAUCUGCGAGUCAAAGGGUGUUUAAACCCCAGGGCGCAGUGAAAGCAAAUUUGUUCCAUAAAACGAGCAGUUUGAGGCGGCAUACGAUCGUUGAUUGUAAGUCUGACCUAGAGCAAAUGUGCUGGGACCCGAAAGAUGGUGAACUAUGCCGGAGUAGGGCGAAGCCAGAGGAAACUCUGGUGGAGGCU